rnacentral:rRNA from 1 species
GACGAACGCUGGCGGCGUGCCUAACACAUGCAAGUCGAACGAAGUGGCGAAUGGGUGAGUAACGCGUAAUCAACCUGCCCUUCAGAGGGGGACAACAGUAGGAAACGACUGCUAAUACCGCAUACUGAGGGAGGGCAUUGCGUCUGAUUGGCUAGUUGGAGGGGUAACGGCCCACCAAGGCGAUGAUCAGUAGCCGGUCUGGGAGGAUGAACGGCCACAUUGGGACUGGGACACGGCCCAGACUCCUACGGGAGGCAGCAGGAGGGAAUCUUCCGCAAUGGGCGAAAGUCUGACGGAGCAACGCCGCGUGAGUGAUGACGGCCUUCGGGUUGUAAAGCUCUGUUAAUCGGGACGCGGUACCGAAAUAGAAAGCCACGGCUAACUACGUGCCAGCAGCCGCGGUAAUAC